GAAUCUGCCCUCAGGAGGGGGAUAACGGUUGGAAACGACCGCUAAUACCCCAUAUGCCGAGAGGUGAAAUGAAAUUCGCCUGAGGAUGAGCUCGCGUCUGAUUAGCUAGUUGGUAGGGUAAAGGCCUACCAAGGCAUUGAUCAGUAGCUGGUCUGAGAGGAUGAUCAGCCACACUGGGACUGAGACACGGCCCAGACCCCUACGGGAGGCAGCAGUGGGGAAUUUUCCGCAAUGGGCGCAAGCCUGACGGAGCAACGCCGCGUGAGGGAUGAAGGCCUCUGGGCUGUAAACCUCUUUUAUCAAGGAAGAAGAACUGACGGUACUUGAUGAAUAAGCCACGGCUAAUUCCGUGCCAGCAGCCGCGGUAAUACGGGAGUGGCAAGCGUUAUCCGGAAUUAUUGGGCGUAAAGCGUCCGCAGGCGGUUUUACAAGUCUGUCGUUAAAGCGUGGAGCUCAACUCCAUUUCAGCGAUGGAAACUGUAAGACUCGAGUGUGGUAGGGGCAGAGGGAAUCCCCGGUGUAGCGGUGAAAUGCGUAGAUAUCGGGAAGAACACCAGUGGCGAAAGCGCUCUGCUGGGCCAUAACUGACGCUCAUGGACGAAAGCCAGGGGAGCG
rnacentral:rRNA from 1 species